rnacentral:rRNA from 1 species
UAGGGAAUAUUAGAAAUGGACGAAGGUCUGAUCUAGCAACACCGCGUGUGCGAAGAAGGCCUUCGGGUUGUAAAGCACUUUUUGGAAGGAUUAGGAAGGAAUGUACUUCCAGAAUAAGUCUCGGCUAACUACGUGCCAGCAGCCGCGGUAACACGUAGGAGGCAAACGUUAUCCGGAUUUACUGGGCGUAAAGCGCGUGUAGGUGGUUCUGUAAGUAGGGCGUGAAAGCUCCUGGCUCAACUGGGAGAGGCCGUUCUAAACUGCAGAGCUAGAGGAUGGUAGAGGGAGGUGGAGUUCCGGGUGUAGCGGUGGAAUGCGCAGAUAUCCGGAGGAACACCAGUGGCGAGAGCGGCCUCCUGGACCAUCCCUGACACUCAGACGCGAAAGCUAGGGUAGCAAACGG